UGGCUCAUUACAACAGCCGUCGUUUCUUGGAUCUCUUAUUUUACUUGGAUAACUGUGGUAAUUCUAGAGCUAAUACACGCACUAAAGCUCCGACCUUACGGGACGAGCGCAUUUAUUAGAACAAAACCAAUCGGGUUUCGGCCCGUUCGUUGGUGACUCUGAAUAACUACGCCGAUCGCACGGUCUCGCACCGGCGACGCAUCUUUCAAGUGUCUGCCUUAUCAACUUUCGAUGGUAGUUUAUGUGCCUACCAUGGUUGUAACGGGUAACGGAGAAUAAGGGUUCGACUCCGGAGAGGGAGCCUGAGAAACGGCUACCACAUCCAAGGAAGGCAGCAGGCGCGCAAAUUACCCACUCUCGGCACGAGGAGGUAGUGACGAAAAAUAACGAGACGGAUCUCUUUGAGGCCCGUUAUCGGAAUGAGAACAAUUCAAAUCCUUUAACGAGGAUCUAGCGGAGGGCAAGUCUGGUGCCAGCAGCCGCGGUAAUUCCAGCUCCGCAGGUGUAUAUCUAUGCUGCUGCGGUUAAAAAGCUCGUAGUUGGAUCUGCGUGCUCGGAACCGGUUGGCUCACUGAGUUCAAACUGGUCUCCGGCGCUUUAUCGGCUGGUUUUCCCUUGAUGCUCUUAACCGGGUGUCUUGGGUGGCUAGCACGUUUACUUUGAAAAAAUUAGAGUGCUCAAUACAGGCGCAAAGCCUUGAAUAGUGGUGCAUGGAAUAAUGGAAUAGGACCUCGGUUCUAUUUUGUUGGUUUUCGGAACGCGAGGUAAUGAUUAAGAGGGACAGACGGGGGCAUUCGUAUUGCGACGUUAGAGGUGAAAUUCUUGGAUCGUCGCAAGACGGACGACUGCGAAAGCAUUGCCAA
rnacentral:rRNA from 1 species